AUUCAUGAGAGACUCAGAGAGAGAGGCAGAGACAUAAGCAGAGGGAGAAACAGGCUCCCUGCAGGACUCGAUCUCAGGACGGGGGGAUCAGGACCUGAGCCAAAGGCAGACGCUCAAACCACUGAGCCACCCGGGCGAUCAGCGUUUAGAUUUAAAUAAGGUGAGUGUCAGGUACCUGUGGGCCGUUCAAAGGGCUGACCUGGAGGCAGCUGUACAAGAAGCCUGGUGCUCAGGAGAGAAUGGGGCAGGGGCAUGUUCCCCGUGUGCCCCCAGUAUCAGCGAGCUGGUGGCAGCCCCGACGAGCACGCUUGCAGAGCCCUGGGGAAGGGCACAGAAAGGAUGAAGUUCUGAAAAGUUCUUUGAGAGCAGGUGGUUUGAACAGGUGUGCGAAUCAGAAUGAAAAUAUUAAAACACACACCACCGUCCAGCUUGGCCCGUCGGGCCCUCCUGGAGUCCAGCAUCGCGUUUAUCUGCAGCCUGGGAGGAUCUGAGUUGCACAACAGCCAGAGGUUUAGGGGCUCCCCAGUCCCAUCCCAGGCCAGCCCCCACCUUGCAUCAGAGGCAGCAGCGGCGGCUGACUCAGCAAAGCUUUUUUCUCUGGGACGCUUGCCUUUAAAGGCAAAAUGAAAAGGAAAAAAAAAAAAAAGAAAGAAAGAAAGAAAACCCUCUUCCCGGGUGCCUUCCGCCCUCCGCCCCGCGCAGGCCGCCCGAGCCCACGUGCGUGCUCCCAGGCACGCACCCCAGCACCCAGCGCCGCCGGCCACCUGGCACCGCCCCUCAGUCCCAGAGCCCUUCCUCCGGCUGGCUGGCUGGCUGGCGAGGCCUGGAACUGCUUGGAAUGGGACCCAGAAAAAGUGCGAGUUCCUUCCAGGGCUAAAGGCAGCCUCCAGGGAACAAAGCUGCCAGUGUGAGCACAGCUUGGGGUGGAGGGGGAGUGGGGGGGCCCUCGGUCCUUGCAAGCUGAGCCCCAGGACUCCCACAAACUCUGCAGCCUUCUUCAGAGCUUCAGAGCAGGGGAGGCUCAAGGGGAGGCUUCGAUUUCCUCAGGCCCCUCCCCUGCUCAGAAACCCUCCAUGGCUUCCCACUUACCCCUGAAAGAAGUCCUAACUCCUAUAAACUGGCAAUUGAGGGCCUUUAGGACCUCACCUCUUCAGCUUCUUUUGCCCAGAUUCCCCCUAACUUCAUCCCCUGUCUCUGCCACCUCCCUGCACAGCCUCCCCUGGGGCUGCUUAGUGGGGCUCUGCGGUUCUGUGGCUCAGCUGCACCUUCCUGCCAGGCUCCAGGCAUUACCUCAUGCGCUCUGCUCCCCUCAGCUUCCAGCCUUCCAGGCUCAGAUGCCAUUUAGGCUUUCUCGGGUGUUCCCUCUCUGGUUGGACUUACAUUCUGUUUCCCAGGACUCAGCCACCCAAAAAAUAAACUAGCCCGCCUGCGAAUCUAACCUCGGAUCCAGUGUUAAUAAUAGCUUCUCAUGAAUUUACCUCAAAACUAUAGCCUCUAGCAGGUCAUGAAAUUUUUAUAGAGAGAGAAGAAAUGGAAUUUCAAGCAGAUAAUGGGGGUCUGUUUGGGCGGGUAGGGUGAGGUUCGGCAAGAGCAACGCUGUGUUUCUAGCCACUCUGCUUUGUCUUCUAGUGCUACCCUCGCUACCCUCGCCAGGGGAAGGGGAUUGGAUGGGACAUCAUGUAUUAGUACUGUUGGGGCACCUGGGUGGCUCAGAGAUUAAGCUUCUGCCUUUGGCUUGGGCCAUGAUCUCGGGGGUCCUGGGAUGGAGUCCCACAUCGGGCUCCCCUCUGGGAGCCUGCCUCUGCCUCUGCCUGUGUCUCUGGCUCUCUCUGUGUGUCUCAUGAAUAAAUAAAUACAAUUAAAAAAAUGAAUUAGCACUGUUUAUUGGGAUAAACUUCUAUACACAUCCAUUUUUCCUCAGGCCUGCCCAAGAGGGAAUCAUUAAACCCAUUUUACAGAUAUGAGUCUUGAGGCUCAGAGAGAAGGGAUUUGCUCAGUGAUGUUUGUUGUUGUUGUUGUUGUUUUUUAAAGAUUUUAUUUAUUUCUUCAUGAGAGACAGAGAGAGAGAGAGAGAGAGAGGCAGAGACACAAGCAGGCUCCAUGCCCUGGGCCAAAGGCAGGGGUUAAGCCGCUGAGCUACCCAGGGAUCCCCUGUCUGCUGCUUUUGUGCAUGUUCUUCCCUCUGCCGAAAAUGGCCUUCCCUAUGGUCGGCCUGGUAUUCAGCCUUCCACACCCUGCUCUGCAUGUCCCCUAUCUUCUCUGAAGCUCUCUCUACCCCCUCGCCUUCCUCUAUGGCACAAGUUCUUCUCCUGUACACAUGCUCAUCCCUGCACACUCCACUUGGUAUUAUUGCUGCCCAUUUCCCCUCUGGCAUCCUUUCCAGUUCGGGGGCUCCCCAGGCUAGCAACAGACUCACAUGCCUCUGACCCUGGGGAAGUGACCCACACAGGGCUGGCCUAGAGAAGGAAAGGGAGCCUGGUGGUGAGUGUGACCCGUGGGCUGAAUGAGACAUACCCCCAGCUGAGAGGAGGCCUACACAAUAUGCCUGGAAACAGGGAGCUAUGGAGACUCUGAGCAGGAAAGUGGCAAAACCAGAAAGGUACUUAGGGAAAGACUUCAAGUGUUGGCAGAAACAGGCAGGCUAGCUCCUCAUAGGAUCAUUCAUUACUGCCUGCGUUCACUCCUUCCACCCAUGUGUCUCCCCCACAGAAGCCAUCCUUGGGGGGCUCCAUCUGGGGGAAGACAGGACCAGGAGCUCACUGAGAAACACCAAAGGGUAAAGAAGAUAAAGCUUCUUUCCUGGGGGACUCUGGGACCCUUUCCAGAAGCCCCAUUCCAGAGGUCCUCUGUGCCAUCAGAAGCACUGUGGCACACUGAGGGUGGCUCAGAAACAAUCCGAGCAAAGGUAGAAACAAGAAAAUGCUCAACGGGAGAGGUCAGGCAGGAGAGCUCGUGAACUAAGCCAGGGCCUGCUCCCUCUCAAGCAGCAUCAGACAUAUGAGCCUGAUAGUGCUGGUUAGGACUAGAGGAGGUGAGAGCAGAGGAGUGGAGGCCCUGCAAACAGCAGGGAGGGAGGGAGGAUGGGGGGGAGGGGUACGUGGAGUGAAAGCAGCAGGACUUUGUGGUACUGGGGUACUGGUACUGGUACUGGGGUGGAGGCUUGUGGUGGCAAGAGGAACCCCCACACUUUGCAGGCUGAGCAGCUGGGAGACCAGAGAAAUAGAAGCUGUGGGCAGCGGUGUGCCUGGAAGGCUCUUGCUCCCUGUCCUUGGGCUGCUCCAUGCCCAGCCCGGGUGCCCCCUUGGCAGCACUGGACACCCAGUCUGGACAGAUGAGUCCAGCAGUCAUGUGGUCAGCUCAGCCUCCUCCUUUCCAACCAGAAGUAACCCCUCCCUGUCCGUCUCCACAGGGAAAGGGGGACACUCAGCCUGACCUCAGGACUUUGGACAGGGGGGUCUUUCCCUUUGCCCUGUCUCAAGUAAGACUUGGGUUUAGGAGAGGAAAUAAGGUGAAAUGUUACCACCACCAUUAAAAAAAAAAAAAAAAAAAAAAAAAAAAAGGACUUCCUGUGUGUCAGCAAGUGCUGAGAACUUCAUCAACUUUCUAGAAAUUCUCUCAUGACAGCACAUGAAGCUUGGAGGUGGUAUUGAUUCCGUUUUACCUUUAAUGAAACCGGCUCAAAGGCCAGCAGGUUGCCUAGGAUGGUGCUAGGACCCGGUGUACUCUAUAGAACUGGCUCAGACCCAAGGACCCAUGUGUUCUCAGCACUCACCUGUCGCCACGGGUUCGCAUGUACUGUCAGGGCUAGAGAAGAUUUCACCAAGGCGGUGGUGACAGGAGAGCCCAGGGAGGAGGUGGGUAUGAUUUUCCGGCAGAGGGCCCAGCCCGUGCUAAAGCAAGGCUUGGCUUGCAAACAGGAAUGUCGGGGGUGGAGAGGGCUUAGGAGAAAGUCGCGGAGCGAGACCUCCUGUCGCUGGUCCGACAGAUCCGGACCUACUGCUUACAACGAAACAGAUGCCGCCCCACGCACUUCAGAAACGUUAACUCGCUUAAGCUUCCUGAGGAGCCUGGCGGCGGUCCGAGGACGGUCCUGCGCUUCCCCGAGGUCCUCCGGCGGCGGAGGGGGGACUCCAGAGCCCUCCCUACGGCUCCACCAUUUUGCAGGAGGUCGCCGAGGCUCAGAGAGGUGCGCUCCCCGGCGCCGCGUCACCCAGCGGGCGCGCCUCCCCGCCCCGGGGCGCCCC
rnacentral:lncRNA from 1 species